AAAAAGAACAACAUAUGACGAUGUAAUGUAAAGAAAAGAAACAGAACGAUAAGACCACGAACUAGAUAAGACUAUGUAUUUAGUGGCCAAACAAACUUUGACAGUUAACUAUAGUCGUCAUAUAAAGACGGUUUUUAAGUGAAACAAAAAGGAAUUAUAGUAAUUUUGUUUGAAUUGUGUCCAAAUUAUGUUGUCCAUUAAUUAGACUUGUCUUUUAUUAUGAAGAAAACAUGCCGUGUUGAGUAAUUGGAUGUAAAAGGAAAAGUUAAAUAAAAACAACAGGAUUGUAUUUUCAUGCGAAGUAUACUAGUUACUAGGCAUUCGAAUUGCUGAACACGAGGAUUUACGUCGUGAUUGGAUUAUAGCUAUACUAUAUUGAACCCAAGCUGAGAAUUUGAGACUUACAUACGAAGCUUGUUUCAUUCAAAGAACAAUAACGAUUACAAUAAAAAAAAUAUAUAUAUAAAUUUAGUCAUAAAUAAAUAAUUGUAUUAUUUGCUCACAAAUCCAGUACGUACAGUCACCUACGAACUUGCAGUUUAUGAUACAUACAUCAUAUUACUCGCAAUACCACAGGCAAUACACUAGUUGACAACCAAAUUCAAUAUUUAAUGACAACAACGAUACAUUUCUAUGAAUUUAUAUUGAAACAGCAAUCGAAAAUGAUUUACUCAAAUCAUAAAUAUGGUUAAUGAAAGUAUGAUUAUAUGUGAAUAUU